rnacentral:rRNA from 1 species
UACGUAGGGUGCAAGCGUUGUCCGGAAUUAUUGGGCGUAAAGAGCUCGUAGGCGGUCUGUCGCGUCUGCUGUGAAAACUCGGGGCUUAACCCCGGGCCUGCAGUGGGUACGGGCAGACUAGAGUGAUGUAGGGGAGACUGGAAUUCCUGGUGUAGCGGUGAAAUGCGCAGAUAUCAGGAAGAACACCCGUGGCGAAAGCGGCUCUCUGGAACGGUACUGACGCUGAGACGCGAAAGCGUGGGGAGCGAACAGG